rnacentral:rRNA from 1 species
UACGUAGGGUGCGAGCGUUGUCCGGAAUUAUUGGGCGUAAAGAGCUCGUAGGCGGUCUGUCGCGUCGAUCGUGAAAACUUGGGGCUUAACCCUGAGCUUGCGGUCGAUACGGGCAUGACUGGAGUUCGGCAGGGGAGACUGGAAUUCCUGGUGUAGCGGUGAAAUGCGCAGAUAUCAGGAAGAACACCUAUGGCGAAGGCAGCUCUCUGGGACGGUACUGACGCUGAGACGCGAAAGCGUGGGGAGCGAACAGG